rnacentral:rRNA from 1 species
AAUCCUGGCUCAGAUUGAACGCUGGCGGCAGGCCUAACACAUGCAAGUCGAACGGUAACAGGAAGCAGCUUGCUGCUUUGCUGACGAGUGGCGGACGGGUGAGUAAUGUCUGGGAAACUGCCUGAUGGAGGGGGAUAACUACUGGAAACGGUAGCUAAUACCGCAUAACGUCGCAAGACCAAAGAGAGGGGACCUUCGGGCCUCUUGCCAUCGGAUGUGCCCAGAUGGGAUUAGCUAGUAGGG